GACAGAGGGGGCAAGCGUUGCUCGGAAUUACUGGGCGUAAAGGGCGCGUAGGCGGGAUGGCAAGUCGGUCGUGAAAUCCCUCGGCUCAACUGAGGAGCGUCGAUCGAAACUGCCGUUCUUGAGGGUUGCAGAGGAGACUGGAAUUCCCGGUGUAGCGGUGAAAUGCGCAGAUAUCGGGAGGAACACCAAUGGCGAAGGCAGCUCGCUGGGACGGUACUGACGCUGAGACGCGAAAGCGUGGGGAGCAAACAGG
rnacentral:rRNA from 1 species